AACGAACGCUGGCGGCGCGCCUAAUACAUGCAAGUCGAGCGAGAAGACGUAGCAAUACGUUUGUAAAGCGGCGAACGGGUGAGGAAUACAUGGGUAACCUACCCUCGAGUGGGGAAUAACUAGCCGAAAGGUUAGCUAAUACCGCGUACGCUCCUUGGACUUCGGUUCAGGGAGGAAAGCGAUACCGUGGGUAUCGCGCUCUUGGAUGGGCUCAUGUCCUAUCAGCUUGUUGGUGAGGUAACGGCUCACCAAGGCUUCGACGGGUAGCUGGUCUGAGAGGACGAUCAGCCACACUGGCACUGCGACACGGGCCAGACUCCUACGGGAGGCAGCAGUAAGGAAUAUUGCGCAAUGGGCGAAAGCCUGACGCAGCGACGCCGCGUGGGGGAUGAAGGUCUUCGGAUUGUAACCCCUUUCGGGAGGGAAGAUGGAACGAGCAAUCGUUCGGACGGUACCUCCAGAAGCAGCCACGGCUAAC
rnacentral:rRNA from 1 species